GUGACUGCGUACCUUUUGUAUAAUGGGUCAGCGACUUAUAUUCUGUAGCAAGGUUAACCGUAUAGGGGAGCCGGAGGGAAACCGAGUCUUAACCGGGCGUUAAGUUGCAGGGUAUAGACCCGAAACCCGGUGAUCUAGCCAUGGGCAGGUUGAAGGUUGGGUAACACUAACUGGAGGACCGAACCGACUAAUGUUGAAAAAUUAGCGGAUGACCUGUGGCUGGGGGUGAAAGGCCAAUCAAACCGGGAGAUAGCUGGUUCUCCCCGAAAGCUAUUUAGGUAGCGCCUCGUGAAUUCAUCUCCGGGGGUAGAGCACUGUUUCGGCUAGGGGGCCAUCCCGGCUUACCAACCCGAUGCAAACUGCGAAUACCGGAGAAUGUUAUCACGGGAGACACACGGCGGGUGCUAACGUCCGUCGUGAAGAGGGAAACAACCCAGACCGCCAGCUAAGGUCCCAAAGUCAUGGUUAAGUGGGAAACGAUGUGGGAAGGCCCAGACAGCCAGGAUGUUGGCUUAGAAGCAGCCAUCAUUUAAAGAAAGCGUAAUAGCUCACUGGUCGAGUCGGCCUGCGCGGAAGAUGUAACGGGGCUAAACCAUGCACCGAAGCUGCGGCAGCGACACUCAGGUGUUGUUGGGUAGGGGAGCGUUCUGUAAGCCUGCGAAGGUGGCCUGUGAGGGUUGCUGGAGGUAUCAGAAGUGCGAAUGCUGACAUAAGUAACGAUAAAGCGGGUGAAAAGCCCGCUCGCCGGAAGACCAAGGGUUCCUGUCCAACGUUAAUCGGGGCAGGGUGAGUCGACCCCUAAGGCGAGGCCGAAAGGCGUAGUCGAUGGGAAACGGGUUAAUAUUCCCGUACUUGGUGUUACUGCGAAGGGGGGACGGAGAAGGCUAUGUUGGCCGGGCGACGGUUGUCCCGGUUUAAGCGUGUAGGUGUGUGUUCCAGGUAAAUCCGGUUCACUUUAACACUGAGGCGUGACGACGAGGCACUACGGUGCUGAAGCAACAAAUGCCCUGCUUCCAGGAAAAGCCUCUAAGCAUCAGGUAACAUCAAAUCGUACCCCAAACCGACACAGGUGGUCAGGUAGAGAAUACCAAGGCGCUUGAGAGAACUCGGGUGAAGGAACUAGGCAAAAUGGUGCCGUAACUUCGGGAGAAGGCACGCUGACAUGUAGGUGAAGUGAUUUACUCAUGGAGCUGAAGUCAGUCGAAGAUACCAGCUGGCUGCAACUGUUUAUUAAAAACACAGCACUGUGCAAACACGAAAGUGGACGUAUACGGUGUGA
rnacentral:rRNA from 1 species